rnacentral:snoRNA from 1 species
AUGCCAUGAUGAGGACACUUCACCAGCAUCCCUUUAAAUCUCUCCCAUAUUUCUUGCAAGGUUCAGUCGGCUGCUGCUUGUAUUGUAAUAUUUCAUCAAUCUGCCU